rnacentral:rRNA from 1 species
CCUACGGGCGGCAGCAGUGAGGAAUAUUGGUCAAUGGACGAGAGUCUGAACCAGCCAAGUAGCGUGAAGGAUGACUGCCCUAUGGGUUGUAAACUUCUUUUAUAUGGGAAUAAAAUGUUCCACGUGUGGGAUUUUGUAUGUCCCAUAUGAAUAAGGAUCGGCUAACUCCGUGCCAGCAGCCGCGGUAAUACGGAGGAUCCGAGCGUUAUCCGGAUUUAUUGGGUUUAACGGGAGCGUAGGUGGAUUGUUAAGUCAGUUGUGAAAGUUUGCGGCUCAACCGUAAAAUUGCAGUUGAAACUGGCAGUCUUGAGUACAGUAGAGGUGGGCGGAAUUCGUGGUGUAGCGGUGAAAUGCUUAGAUAUCACGAAGAACUCCGAUUGCGAAGGCAGUUCACUGGACUGCAACUGACACUGAGGCUCGAAAGUGUGGGUAUCAAACAGGAUUAGAUACCCGAGUAGUC